rnacentral:rRNA from 1 species
GACGGUAUGACAGGUGCUGCAUGGCUGUCGUCAGCUCGUGCCGUGAGGUGUUGGGUUAAGUCCCGCAACGAGCGCAACCCUAUUGCUAGUUACCAUCAUUAAGUUGGGGACUCUAGCGAAGACUGCCAGUGAUAAACUGGAGGAAGGGUGGGGAUGACGUCAAAUCAUCAUGCCCCUUAUGACCUGGGCUACAAACGUGAUACAAUGGCUGGAACAAAGGGAUGCGAAGCAGUGAUGUGGAGACGAAACCCAUAAAAACAGUCUCAGUUCGGAUUGAAGUCUGCAACUCGACUUCAUGAAGUCGGAAUCGCUAGUAAUCGCGGAUCAGAACGCCGCGGUGAAUACGUUCUCGGGGUUU